ensembl:lncRNA
AGGACAAGACUCAUUAUAGAACUGACCAGGACAAGACUCAUUAUAAAACUGACCAGGACAAGACUCAUUAUAGAACUGACCAGGACAAGACUCAUUAUAGAGCUGACCAGGACAAGACUCAUUAUAAAACUGACCAGGACAAGACUCAUUAUAGAGCUGACCAGGACAAGACUCAUUAUAAAACUGACCAGGACAAGACUCAUCAUAGAGCUGACCAGGACAAGACUGGACAAUACUCAUUAUAGAUUUGGACAGGGCAGGACUGGACAAGACUCAUUAUAGAACUGGACAGGUCCCGUGCCCUUUCCAGUUGGUGAAAUUUAUGGAAAUAAACCCUCACUGUUGGACAAGGCUGACUGUCCCAGAGAGUAAAGUGAUGUCCUCAGCUGUUAUUACAGUCUAAUGGGACAGUGAACAUAGUGAAAAUAGGAAGAUAUGUCCUCAGCUGUUAUUACAGUCUAAUUGGACAGUGAACAUAAUGAAAAGAGGAAGAUAUGUCCUCAGCUGUUAUUACAGUCUAAUGGGACAGUGAACAUAGUGAAAAGAGGAAGAUAUGUCCUCAGCUGUUAUUACAGUCUAAUGGGACAGUGAACAUAGUGAAAAGAGGAAGAUAUGUCCUCAGCUGUUAUUACAGUCUAAUGGGACAGUGAACAUAGUGAAAAGAGGAAGAUAUGUCCUCAGCUGUUAUUACAGUCUAAUGAGACAGUGAACAUAAUGAAAAGAGGAAGAUAUGUCCUCAGCUGUUAUUACAGUCUAAUGAGACAGUGAACAUAAUGAAAAGAGGAAGAUAUGUCCUCAGCUGUUAUUACAGUCUAAUGAGACAGUGAACAUAGUGAAGAGGAAGGGAUGUCCUCAGUUGUACUGCUGCUGUUCUGUUCUGUGAGAUACAGGCGCUCCAAGGCUUUCCACAGUGUGUCAUAUCCUUUUGGAACUACUACAUUAGUCAUGACACUUCCUGUCCUCUUGUCAACCAUGCUUCUGAUCCAGAACACACCCACUGAUCCCGCCCACAUGUUCCAGUUAGUUUCACUGUGUUCAUCUCUGUUUUCUCUGUGUUUAUUGGUCCUGGUUGGCCCUGGUUGGUCGGUCCUGGUUGGUUGUUCUUGGUUGGUUAUGUCAUUGACAGCACAUGUCCCAUUUGAGUCUGAGCCAUGAAGGUGAUGUGUUUUGGCUCAGUCUAUUUCCUUGUUUUUAGAGGACGAUUCUGGAAUAAAAGAGGUUGAGUGAGGAUAUGGCUGCUUGUCUUUCCUCAGUUUCAAGGCCUUACCCAGGCCUUACCCAGGCCUUUCCCAGGCCUUUCCCAGGCCUUUCCCAGGCCUUUCCCAGGCCUUUCCUUUCCCAGGCCUAAGUAAGGCCUU